GGGGCUGUAGCUCAGCUGGGAGAGCGCUUGAAUGGCAUUCAAGAGGCCAGGAGUUCGAUCCUCCUCAGCUCCA
rnacentral:tRNA from 1 species